rnacentral:lncRNA from 1 species
GGAAAUUUUGCUGUUUUUGGUUAUUAUCUUGAAUAUUAUUAUAGAUAGAGAUAAACUGUAAACAGCAAUAAUGUUCAGCAAAGUAAGAUCUACAAAUAAUGGUCAGUUGACCACUUAAGGAGUUAUUGCCCUUUAUAGUCAAUUUUUAACCAUUUUUCGUAAAUCUUAGUAAUCUUUUAGAAAAAUCUUCUCCUCUGAAACUACUGGGCCAAAUUUAACCAAACUUAGCCAUAAUCAUGAUUGGGGUAUCUAGUUAAAAAAAUGUGUCCGGUAACUCGGCCAACAAACCAAGAUGGCCGCCAUGGCUAAAAAUAGAACAUGGGUGUAAAAUGCAGUUUUUGGCUUAUAACUCAAAAACCAAAGCAUUAAGAGCAAAUCUGACAGGAAGUAAAAUUGUUGAACAGGUCACGAUCUAUCUGCCCUGGAAUUUUCAGAUGAAUCGGAUAAUCGGUUGUAAGGUUGCUGCCCCUGAAUUGGUAAUUUUGAGGAAAUUUUGCUGUUUUUUUGUUAUUAUCUUGAAUAUUAUUAUAGAUAGAGAUAAACUGUAAACAGCAAUAAUGUACAGCAAAGUAAGAACUAAAAAUAAGUCAGUAUGACCAAAAUAGUCAAUUGCCCUUCAUAGUCAAUUUUUAACAAUUUUCUUAAAAUUUGAAGAUUUUCAAUAACACUUUCCACAGAAAGUACUAUUAUAGAUAGAGAUAAUUGUAAGCAGCAAGAAUGUUUAGUAAAGUAAGAUCUACAAACACAUCACCAUCACCAAAACACAAUUUUGUCAUGAAUCCAUCUGUGUCCAUUGUUUAAUAUUCACAUAGACCAAGGUGAGCGACACAGGCUCUUUAGAGCCUCUAGUUAUGU